UGCAAGUCGAGCGGCAGCGGGUCCUUCGGGAUGCCGGCGAGCGGCGGACGGGUGAGUAAUGCCUAGGAAUCUGCCUGGUAGUGGGGGAUAACGUUCGGAAACGGACGCUAAUACCGCAUACGUCCUACGGGAGAAAGUGGGGGAUCUUCGGACCUCACGCUAUCAGAUGAGCCUAGGUCGGAUUAGCUAGUUGGUGGGGUAAAGGCUCACCAAGGCGACGAUCCGUAACUGGUCUGAGAGGAUGAUCAGUCACACUGGAACUGAGACACGGUCCAGACUCCUACGGGAGGCAGCAGUGGGGAAUAUUGGACAAUGGGCGAAAGCCUGAUCCAGCCAUGCCGCGUGUGUGAAGAAGGUCUUCGGAUUGUAAAGCACUUUAAGUUGGGAGGAAGGGCAGCUAGUUAAUACCUGGUUGUUUUGACGUUACCAACAGAAUAAGCACCGGCUAACUUCGUGCCAGCAGCCGCGGUAAUACGAAGGGUGCAAGCGUUAAUCGGAAUUACUGGGCGUAAAGCGCGCGUAGGUGGUUCAGCAAGUUGGAGGUGAAAUCCCCGGGCUCAACCUGGGAACUGCCUCCAAAACUACUGAGCUAGAGUACGG
rnacentral:rRNA from 1 species